GACGGACGCUGGCGGCGUGCUUAACACAUGCAAGUCGAACGGAAAGGCCCUGCUUUUGUGGGGUGCUCGAGUGGCGAACGGGUGAGUAACACGUGAGUAACCUGCCCUUGACUUUGGGAUAACUUCAGGAAACUGGGGCUAAUACCGGAUAGGAGCUCCUGCUGCAUGGUGGGGGUUGGAAAGUUUCGGCGGUUGGGGAUGGACUCGCGGCUUAUCAGCUUGUUGGUGGGGUAGUGGCUUACCAAGGCUUUGACGGGUAGCCGGCCUGAGAGGGUUACCGGCCACAUUGGGACUGAGAUACGGCCCAGACUCCUACGGGAGGCAGCAGUGGGGAAUAUUGCACAAUGGGCGGAAGCCUGAUGCAGCAACGCCGCGUGCGGGAUGACGGCCUUCGGGUUGUAAACCGCUUUCGCCUGUGACGAAGCGUGAGUGACGGUAAUGGGUAAAGAAGCACCGGCUAACUACGUG
rnacentral:rRNA from 1 species